GACGAACGCUGGCGGCGUGCUUAACACAUGCAAGUCGAACGGAAAGGCCCUGCUUUUGUGGGGUGCUCGAGUGGCGAACGGGUGAGUAACACGUGAGUAACCUGCCCUUGACUUUGGGAUAACUUCAGGAAACUGGGGCUAAUACCGGAUAGGAGCUCCUGCUGCAUGGUGGGGGUUGGAAAGUUUCGGCGGUUGGGGAUGGACUCGCGGCUUAUCAGCUUGUUGGUGGGGUAGUGGCUUACCAAGGCUUUGACGGGUAGCCGGCCUGAGAGGGUGACCGGCCACAUUGGGACUGAGAUACGGCCCAGACUCCUACGGGAGGCAGCAGUGGGGAAUAUUGCACAAUGGGCGGAAGCCUGAUGCAGCAACGCCACGCGCGGGAUGACGGCCUUCGGGUUGUAAACCGCUUUCGCCUGUGACGAAGCGUGAGUGACGGUAAUGGGUAAAGAAGCACCGGCUAACUACGUG
rnacentral:rRNA from 1 species